rnacentral:sRNA from 1 species
GUCCUUAUAAGCCUGUGCACCUGGGCCUGGGCCCUACAGAUAAGGUAGCUGCUAUUGAUGAAUUUGACAACGCCCAUUUUACACUCCUUGGGAUCCCCAACAAACCCCUGCAGUGUUUGGACAUCACCGCGACAGGCCAGAAGCUCCGCAACAGGUACCACGAGGGAAAGCUGGCGCCCAUCGCGCCAGGCAUCAACCGAGUGGACUGGCCCUGCUUCACGCGCGCCAUCGAGGACUGGUCCCACUUCGUGUCCUCGGCCGGGGAGUUCAAGCUGCCUUGCCUGAGCAAGCGAGUGGAGGGUCCCAGCGGCUACGCGGUGCGGUACUUGAAGCCGGACGUGACCCAGAGCUGGCGGUACUGUCUCAACCAGAACCCCAGCCUGGACCGCUACGGACAGAAGCCCCUGCCUUUCGACUCCCUGAACACUUUCCGAAGCUUCGGCUCCAGCUACAGGCUAGAGUGCAAUGGCCUGAUCUCAGCUCACUGCAACCUCCACCUCUCAGGUUCAAGCAAUUCUCCUGCCUCAGCUUUCUGAGUAGCUGGGAUUACAGUCGUGUCAACUACCUGACCCCCUGGCAUUAAUCUCUGGAAAGGAGGCUGACUCCCAGGCUGCCAGACAGUGCCACCUCAGGUCCCCUGGCCAGACCGAGGACUUAUGGUGGCACCAGCCAUCUCCCCA